CAUCAGCUGGUUUGUAGAGCUGUGGAAAGUCGGAGGCUGUCUGUCCUGGUACCCUCUUAACAAGGCUGGGGUCAGCAUGCACUACAUCUGCAGCCUGAUUAAAUGGUAAAGCAGCUUCAUUAAGCCCUGCAUGUAGAAGCAGAGCUGGUAGGUCUGUGGGCACUGUGCAGCAGCCACAGGAGUCGGGAAAAACCUCACUGAAGAGCAAGGUGAUGCUGCAGGGCAGAAGAAAUUGGGGACUGAUUGCUGGACAACAGCUCCGACUCCUCUGUGCCAAAACAAAAAUAAGUUGU